GAGACUGUCCACCGGCUGUGUGGGGAGU
rnacentral:piRNA from 1 species